GGAGGUGGCCGCCGGCGGGAGGGCGCGCUCAGCAGGGCCGGCGAUCGCCCUGCCAGCCCCCCUCGUGGGCCCCCGGGAACCGGCGGGAGGGGGCGGGGCGGGGAGGCCACGCCCCCGGGCAAAAGAGGGGCUCUUUUUCUAUACCAGGGCAACCAUGGCCUGGGAGCGCACGACGCGGCAGCAACCUCGUUGGAGAGCCCUGAGCAACAAUCAAUGGUAUCAGGAAGAUGGAGAGUAAAGAUAGUUUCAGAUUGACACACAUCGUGCAAUAGUUGAAUUUCUCCGAUUUGCGGAAAACCUCCCGGAGGGGACGUUCAUCGUAACAGUAGUCACACGGACCAAAUACGGUAGCCAAAAAGGUAUGAAAAUUGGACCACUUUGCCUUUUUGCUUCUUUCCCACCUACGUUCUUGAAAAGAGCCUAUGGAUGUCCCAGAACAAGCUGGCCACCCCACCGGCCAGCCCAAACAGGACAAGAGGACGGGCCUCUGCCCCAGCAGUACAGUUGGGCACUGCAGUGAGCAUCCCCCUGUACAAAACUUUGCCAGGAUUUGAGGCUUUCAGCCAAGUGCCAGAAACCAUUUCCAUGUGUGACCUUUUAAAACUCACAUCAAAAACACUACAAAAUGCUUGAUGCCUGAUAUUGCAAGCAAGAAAGAGAGAUAAAACAAUUACCUACCUUUGUUCUCAGAGCUAAAUGCUUAGAAGCGUCUGGAAGGCAAGUAAGCAGACAAGCUGUGUGCAAGUAGAAAUGCGCCAGGAGAAACUUAAUGCAGAGCUAAUCUACUUAGAAGGUAUUUAAAAUACAAGUGUGCACUUCUGGAUUUUAAAGCCUUGUGGUAUUUCCGUACUCUUGGUUUAGGUUCCAGGAAUUAAAGUUAGUCCUCAGUCACUGAAGAUAAAUUCUUGAAUAAAGA